AUGCUCAUGAGAUCGGCACCCGCAUCAAUAAGCUCAAUCAGAGGCUUGACUCCAUCAAGGAGCGAAGUGCUGCUUUCAACUUCCUAUGAGGAUCGUCAUAGAAGCAAUGCCCAUGCCUCCCAGCAUGGUAAUCCAAGCCGGGAGACGACAGGGGACUUUGACCGGUUGGCUGUGGUCGGGGAGAAGAUUGAAGAAGAUACAAGAGCACUGGUGGCCCAGAUCAUGCAGACAAGUGAGGACGUCAGCAACAACAUCAUGGUGCUCGCCAUAGUAGGUGUUGGCGGUAUUGGCAACACCACUCUCGCACAGAAGGUCUUCAAUGAUGAGGCAAUCCAAGGUGAGUUCAGCAAAAAGAUAUGGUUGAGCGUCAACCAAAACUUCAGUGAGGUUGAGUUGUUGAAAAGAACCAUUAUUGAAGCCGGAGGAGAUGCCCAACCUGCUGGAAAUGCAAAAGCCACGCUUAACCGAACCCUCAAGGACGCCUUGAGGGGCCACAAGACCUUAUUGGUAAUGGACGAUGUGUGGAACCAUGAAGCAUGGGAGGGUGUGCUCAAAAUACCCUUAGUCAAUGUUGUGGCCGCAGGCAGCCGAGUCCUCAUCACAACAAGAGACGUAGCUGUUGCCCGAGGGAUGACAGCCGCAUGGCCCUACCACCAUGUCAACAUAUUAGCUCCUGGUGAUGCUUGGUCAUUGCUCAAGAAGCAGGUACUUUCAACUGAGAUAGAUGAAGACCACAUCAGUAUGCUGAAGGAUAUUGGAUUUAGAAUUAUAGAAAAAUGUGGUGGUCUACCACUUGCCAUCAAAGUAAUGGGGGGCCUCUUGCGUCAAAGAGGGGGCCUACGUUCUCACUGGCAGCAGGUUUUGGAUGAUUCUAAAUGGUCCAUAACUAAAAUGCCCCAAGAGCUCAACUAUGCAGUAUACUUGAGCUAUGAAGAUAUGCCUCCUUAUUUGAAGCAGUGCUUUAUUUACUUUUCUCUUCUUCCUAAAAGAACUGCGUUUAGUGUACAUCAAGUCAUUGCCUUGUGGAUUAGUGAAGGAAUUGUUCAUGGAAGCUCAAAUGAUUUAGAAGAAUGUGGAAGAAAGUGCUAUGAUGAGUUAAUAUCUCGGAACCUUAUAGAGCCAGAUCAAGGGUAUAGCAAUCAGCUCAUUUGCAGCAUGCAUGAUGUUGUUCGCUCAUUUGCUCAAUAUAUGAGUAAAGAUGAAGCACUUGUGGCUCAUGACGAAGGCAUUGAUAUUCUGAAGAAGCUUAAUUCGCAAAAGUUUCUUCGGUUGUCUAUUGAUACCAACCAGUUGCAAUCAGGCGCACUUGACUGGAAAUCUUUACAGGAGCAGAAAUCAGUGAGGACAUUACUCUCAACUGUGACGAUAAAGAUGGAGCCUGAUGAUUCAUUGGUUACUUUUUCUAGUCUCCGGAGUCUACAUAUAGAAUCUGCCGACGUGGCUACAUUGGUUAAAACAUUGCAUCAACUCAAGCAUCUGCGGUAUUUGACACUAGUAAAUAGUGAUAUAUCUGUACUUCCAGCGAAUAUUGGCAAGAUGAAACUACUGCAAUUCUUUCAACUUCAUGGAUGUGAAAAGCUGGUGAAUCUUCCUGAUAGCAUUGUGAAGCUUGGCCAGCUGAGGUUACUUAGUCUUCCCAAAAGCAGUAUGAUACCUAGAGGGUUCUCCGGUCUCACAAAUAUGAGGAAACUCCUUGGGUUUCAAGCCCACAUGGAUGGUGAUUGGUGCAGUUUGGAUGAGUUGGGUCCUCUUUCCCAACUCAGACUUCUCGGUUUAUAUCAAUUGGAGAAUGUAUCUGCUGCCUCGUUUGCUGCUAAUGCUAGGCUUGCUGAGAAGAUUCAUCUUAAUGAACUGUUUUUGUACUGCACCAGCAUACUAGGACCUGACGGGUUGGCCAAAGAAAAAGGAAGUGUCUCUGAGGAAGAGCAACACCGAAUCAAGAAGGUGUUUGAUGCACUCUGCCCUCCGCCCAAUGUGGAGAAAAUCGACAUUGAUGGUUAUUUUGGUCAGCAACUCCCGAGUUGGAUGAUGUCCAGGUCAAGGGCGCCCCUCAAUAACUUGAAGUUUCUAUUACUUCGUAACCUGGCUUGUUGCACCCAACUUCCCAGUGGGUUGUGUCAGCUCCCCUACCUGCAGCACCUCCAUGUUGUCGGUGCUCCAUGCAUCAGGCGUAUUGGAACUGAAUUCUUGCAGGCUGUAGGAGCUCCAUUUCCGAGGUUAAACAGGCUGUCCUUAUCCGGAAUGGUGGAAUGGGAGGAGUGGGAGUGGGAGGAGCAAGUACAAGCCAUGCGCCGUUUGGAGACGAUUGAACUCAAUAAUUGCAAACUGAGUCGUUUUCCUCCUGGGCUUGCCUCCAAUGCAAGGGCUUUGAAACAGUUAAGCCUAGAACGUGUCCAGCACCUCAGGUACAUUGAGAACUUUCCUUCUGUUGUCGAGAUUACAGUGCUUGGAAGCCCCCACCUAGAGAGGAUCUCCAAUCUCCCUAAUCUGCAGAAGCUUUACAUCAACAAUUGCCCAAAGUUGAAGGUGGUGAAGAGUAUCCCUGCACUCGAGAGGCUGGUCUUGUGUGAUUACCCCAUGGAAACACUCCCAGAUUACACCCGAGAUGUAAAUCCAAAGCUUUUCAUAUUAUUGUGCAGACCAUGGCUGCUCGCUUCGGUAGCUGCGGGACAACUUGGUGUUGAGUGGGAUAAGUUCAGGCAUGUGAACCACGUGAAGGCAUAUGCACAUGGUGGAAAUAACGGAGGUAAAUGGUAUGUUUUGUACACAAGAGGCAACGACAAGUUGGAUACAAAUAUCAGGCACUCCACCGUAUUUGAAGAAACCUUAUCAUCUUGUAUGGUGGACACACAAGGAUUUGAGUCUAUGUACAAAAUGAGAAGAAGCACCUUCAGUUACAUUUGCAGCUUGGUGAGGUUGCCAUUUUUGGAAGAUAUGAUGGCGAAGGAUCACACCUUUGUUGAUGGGAGAGUGAUGUCUUUGCAAGAUCGAGUAGCCACUGCUCUGAGAAUGUUGAUCUCUGGUGAGCCACCGGUGGUCGUAGGAUCCUCUCUUGGUGUCAACGAGCCGACUGUCUCGCUGGUAACUCAGAGGUUUAUUGAGGCUAUUCAGGAGCGAGCGUUGCACCAUUUGAACUGGCCAUACAAUUUCAGUGCAAUGGAGAAGAUCAAGUGCAGGUUUGACAAGAUCCACGGCUUGCCAAAUUGUUGCGGUGUUGUACAUAGAGAUUACUUUAAAUUUGGAUCACCAAACCUUGACCAUGAAGAGAACGCUGACACACUAAUGCUAGCCGUUGUUGAUCCAGAUAUGAGGUUCACAAAUAUUUGGUUUGGAGCAUCAAGUAGCAUGAACCAGUCAAGUCUUUUGCACGACUCUUGGCUCUUCAAGUCCUGCGAGAAAGGUACUUUGUUGGAUGGUAGCAAGCUGAAGGUAUCAGAUGGCUCGGACAUUGGGGAAUACAUCAUUGGUGAUGCAGGAUACCCUCUUCGUCCAUGGCUCCUCACACCUUAUCGGUUGGAGGAUGACAUCUCAGACUCGAAAGUGGAGUUCAACAAGAGACACUCUGCAGCUACAGCCAUGGCACUGAGGGCACUGGAAAGGUUGAAAGACACGUGGAAGUGUCUACAGGGAGAAGGCUGGCAUCCAAAUAAUCAACGUGAUUUGCGGUGGACAAUCAACACGUGUUGUAGGUUGCAUAACAUAGUGAUAGACAUGGAGGAGGAGGGUGCAGUCAUGCUGAGCAAUCAGGAGAAGAAUUGCAUGGAGCAAGUGAGCCAGUUAUUAGAGGAGGACGCUGUCAAGGUGAGGGAUGUACUGUCCCAGCACUUGGUCGAUUCUAGAGUCCACACAUUCGCUGCAGAGGAGGAACAAGAAGCAUCCGGUCGAAGAGAUGAAAACAAGGAAAAAGAAGCUCUCCAACUACAAACAACGGACCGCGGGAAAUUAUACACAAACAACAAAUUGACAGCCCAAGAAAAUGAAACUUUAUCAUCUUCUAUGGUGGGCACGCAAGGAUUUGAAUCUCUGUACAAAAUGAGAAGAAGUACCUUUAGUUACAUCUGCCGCUUGGUAAAGGUGCCCCUUUCUGAAGAUAUGAUGAUAGGAGGACACACCUUUGUUGAUGGGCGAGUGAUAUCUUUCCAUGAUGGAGUAGCGAUUGCUCUGAGAAUGUUGAGCUCCUGUGAGACACCGGAGGUUGUGGGAUCAUCAUUUGGUGUGGACGGGUCAACGGUUUCGCUGUUAACUCAGAGGUUUGUUAGUGCUAUGGAAGGACGAGCAAGGCACCACAUCAGCUUGCUUGGCUUCGCUCAGGUGGAGAAGAUCAAGCGCAAGUUUGACAAGAUCCAUGGCCUCCCAAACUGCUGCAGUGUUGUACAUACAACUCACAUCAAAUUUGGGUCGCAAAACCAUGAAAAUGAGGAAAAUGAUGGCAUGCUAAUGCAAGCCGUGAUUGAUCCAGAUAUGAGGUUGGCAUUCAUUUUCCUGCGACCGCAAGUAAACCUGAACCAGUCAAGCAUGUUGAACGACUCUUAUCUCUUCGAGUGCUGCGAGAAGGGUGCUUGGCUGAAUGGUAGAAAGCUGAAGGUAUCAUCAGGUGGAGGAUCGGAAGUCAAGGAAUACAUCAUCGGUGAUGCAGGAUACCCUCUUCGUCCUUGGCUCCUCACUCCUUACCAGUUGGAGAAUGGCGUCUCACUCUCAGCCACCAAAGCUGAGUUCAACAGGAGACAUUCUGCAGCUACAGCCGUCGCUGAGAGGGCGAUAGCAAGGUUAGAGGACACAUGGAAGUGCCUGCAGGGAGAAGGGUGGCAUCCAAAUAACCAACUUGAAGCGUACUGGACAGUCGACACGUGCUGCGUAUUGCACAACAUAGUGAUAGACAUGGAGGAGGAUCAAGAGGAGGAGGAAGAGGGGAAGAAUUACAGCAAGCAAGUGCGGCAGUUAGCAGAUGAGGACGCCAUCAGGGUGAGGGAUGCACUGUCCCAACACUUGAUCGAAUGUGGAGGAACCUUAUCAUCCUCUAUUGUGGAUGCACAAGGGUUUGAAUCUGUGUACAAAAUGAGAAGAAGCACCUUCAGUUAUAUCUGCAGCUUGGUGAAGACCCCAUUUUUAGAAGAUAUGAUGGCAAGGAAUCACACCUUUGUUGACGGAAGAGUGCUGUCUUUGCAGGAUGGAGUAGCCAUCGUCCUGAGAAUGCUGAACUCUGGUGAAUCACCUGUUACCGUAGGAUCCUCUCUUGGUGUGAACGAGUCAACUAUCUUGCUGGUAACUUAG
rnacentral:rRNA from 1 species